rnacentral:rRNA from 1 species
UUCUGGGAAACUGCCUGAUGGAGGGGGAUAACUACUGGAAACGGUAGCUAAUACCGCAUAACGUCGCAAGACCAAAGAGGGGGACCUUCGGGCCUCUUGCCAUCAGAUGUGCCCAGAUGGGAUUAGCUAGUAGGUGGGGUAACGGCUCACCUAGGCGACGAUCCCUAGCUGGUCUGAGAGGAUGACCAGCCACACUGGAACUGAGACACGGUCCAGACUCCUACGGGAGGCAGCAGUGGGGAAUAUUGCACAAUGGGCGCAAGCCUGAUGCAGCCAUGCCGCGUGUAUGAAGAAGGCCUUCGGGUUGUAAAGUACUUUCAGCGGGGAGGAAGGUGUUGUGGUUAAUAACCGCAGCAAUUGACGUUACCCGCAGAAGAAGCACCGGCUAACUCCGUGCCAGCAGCCGCGGUAAUACGGAGGGUGCAAGCGUUAAUCGGAAUUACUGGGCGUAAAGCGCACGCAGGCGGUCUGUCAAGUCGGAUGUGAAAUCCCCGGGCUCAACCUGGGAACUGCAUUCGAAACUGGCAGGCUAGAGUCUUGUAGAGGGGGGUAGAA